CCUACGGGAGGCAGCAGUGAGGAAUAUUGGUCAAUAGACGAGAGUCUGAACCAGCCAAGUAGCGUGAAGGAUGACUGCCCUAUGGGUUGUAAACUUCUUUUAUAUGGGAAUAAAAUGUUCCACGUGUGGGAUUUUGUAUGUACCAUAUGAAUAAGGAUCGGCUAACUCCGUGCCAGCAGCCGCGGUAAUACGGAGGAUCCGAGCGUUAUCCGGAUUUAUUGGGUUUAAAGGGAGCGUAGGUGGAUUGUUAAGUCAGUUGUGAAAGUUUGCGGCUCAACCGUAAAAUUGCAGUUGAAACUGGCAGUCUUGAGUACAGUAGAGGUGGGCGGAAUGCGUGGUGUAGCGGUGAAAUGCUUAGAUAUCACGAAGAACUCCGAUUGCGAAGGCAGUUCACUGGACUGCAACUGACACUGAGGCUCGAAAGUGUGGGUAUCAAACAGGAUUAGAUACCCGUGUAGUC
rnacentral:rRNA from 1 species